rnacentral:rRNA from 1 species
GGCCAGACUCCUACGGGAGGCAGCAGUGGGGAAUAUUGCACAAUGGGGGAAACCCCGAUGCAGCGACGCCGCGUGAGUGAAGAAGUAUUUCGGUAUGUAAAGCUCUAUCAGCAGGGAAGAAGCAAGACGGUACCUGACUAAGAAGCCCCGGCUAACUACGUGCCAGCAGCCGCGGUAAUACGUAGGGGGCAAGCGUUAUCCGGAUUUACUGGGUGUAAAGGGGGCGCAGACGGCGAUGCAAGCCAGGAGUGAAAGCCCGGGGCCCAACCCCGGGACUGCUCUUGGAACUGCGUGGCUGGAGUGCAGGAGGGGCAGGCGGAAUUCCUGGUGUAGCGGUGAAAUGCGUAGAUAUCAGGAGGAACACCGGUGGCGAAGGCGGCCUGCUGGACUGCAACUGACGUUGAGGCCCGAAAGCGUGGGGAGCAAACAGGAUUAGAUACCCCGGUAUCG